AACGAACGCUGGCGGCAUGCCUAACACAUGCAAGUCGAACGAGAACUUCGGGUCUAGUGGCGCACGGGUGCGUAACGCGUGGGAACCUGCCCUUAGGUUCGGAAUAACUCCCCGAAAGGGGUGCUAAUACCGGAUAAUGUCUUCGGACCAAAGAUUUAUCGCCUUUGGAUGGGCCCGCGUUGGAUUAGCUAGUUGGUAGGGUAAAAGCCUACCAAGGCGACGAUCCAUAGCUGGUCUGAGAGGAUGAUCAGCCACACUGGGACUGAGACACGGCCCAGACUCCUACGGGAGGCAGCAGUGGGGAAUAUUGGACAAUGGGCGAAAGCCUGAUCCAGCAAUGCCGCGUGAGAGAUGAAGGCCUUAGGGUUGUAAAGCUCUUUUACCCGGGAUGAUAAUGACAGUACCGGGAGAAUAAGCUCCGGCUAACUCCGUG
rnacentral:rRNA from 1 species